rnacentral:lncRNA from 1 species
CCUCCUCCAGGUCGCCGCCGUCACACACUGCCUCAGGUCCGUUGAUCUCUCUCCUCCUCGCCACUCUUCACUGCCAGCCCCACACAGCUCUGCCUCCACGGCGGGGAUUCACUCUAUGGCGUUCAAGAGAGGUGGCUGCAGCCGCCAUGCUGCCGAUCCGGUCCUUGCUGCUGGAUCCGGACCUCUCCACCCCUCCUCCCGGUCCGAUCCAAUGGCGUUCGCACGGCGUCGAUCUCCCGGAUGGCGUGAGGUCCUAGCGGCAACGUCAGGCCCCUUGCGAUUGGGGUCAAUUUGAGGUGGCUCCGGUGGAAACGUGGAACACAUCCCAUUGUUACAGGGGCUCCCGAGGCGACAUCCAGUUGCUCUGCGUGCGGGGGUUAUUUUCACCUCUGUUUGCUUUUGCUUUCGUUGUCCGCGCUCAAUCUCUGUGGCUGGUGGUGCAAGCUCCGCAUGCACUCGUCCGAGCUUGCCGAGCAGUCUGCACUGAAGCAAACUCACUGGUCGUCCUUUUCCUUUUCAGUUUGAGAUAGACAGAAGUAUGUAUGUGUCGUUCGUUCGUUGUAGUUGCUGCUGUUCAAAUCUCAGCAUCAUUAUACAGUACCGGCCAUUCUCGCUGACACUAACGGUACUUGGAGAUUUACCAACAAUGGCAGUAGACAUCUUCCUAAACUCCGUUCACACUGCCGGCCCCCAAUUUGUUUCCAUUCCCUGACAUGCAUAAGAUAUCUGCGAUAUUUGCCGAAUUAUUAUUUGCAGGUUUGAAGUACCAGGGCACAAUGGCUGAUAGGGCACUGGAGGAACUGCACACCAUGGUUCAGACACCAACUUCCCUGAUGCGACCAACUCAUCAGUUCAGUGAGCAUUGUAUCCUCUUACUGUUGCCAUAAUUACAUGCAUUUCACUUUUGCAUUAUAUGUGUACUAUUGCAUGGUAGUUGAACACGAAUUUGGGUUACUUGACAUCGUAAAAUAUGGUGGCUACUCUUGGAUCCGGUGAAUCUGGUGGUUCUGCUUAUAUUAUGUAUUGUGGGACUAUUGAGUUCACAACGCUUUCCAAAUACUCAUAUGUGAUUUCUUUUUGAUUUAUACUCGUGCAGAAAAAAUCUUGAUUCUUGAAUUGUUGAAGGCAGCUGUAGCUAAGGCUGGUUACACUAGAAGAAUUUUUUUGUCUAUACAUAGUUCAUGAUUCAGCCCUUGUGUACUAAUUCAUGUGUGACGGUUGGUCAUUGAACUGGAUGUUGCUGCUUCUGAAUGUUACGGUGAAAAGGAUCAGACUCAUCAGCCUCGAUUUUCUUGUGUCUUGAAAUGCAGGUUUGGUUCAUCUAACACUAUAUUACGUCCAUUUGUCCAGUUCAAUUUUUUUUACCAUCUUGCAAUGCGAGGUACAAGAGAGCAUGUGUUGUUCUAUGUCUUAUAUCCUGUUAAAUCCUGUAGGGGAACGACAUUGUAAGCUUGGUUAGUUUGAUGUCCUACGGAGAAGCAAAAUUGGUUGUGCCCACUGCCAGAAGAUUCAUCUUUGUACUCUCUUCUCCAUUUAUCAGUGCAACGAGAGGCAGAGUUAGUCAUGGUGAUGAUCAUAUUGUAUUAUUGUGAUGCUUGCAGACUGGGAGUGUAUUUAUACUUCAUGCUUAUGAGUUAUGAUGAAUCAUUUCGAUGGCAUUACAUAGGUCAGUGGGAAAAGGUCAUUAGGGACUAGCAUGUUUCACUGUUGUGAUUACAAACUAAAACUUGUGCAAGUAUGAUAAAUGGGUGCAUUGAUCUCUUUUUUGUUGUAGUGCAACACCUUGGAGAUGCACACAAUUUGAUAUUACAGUUCUAUAACAUCUCGGAGAUGCACACAAGUUGGUGCCUCUUUUUCUACUAUCAAUGAUGUUUGCUGCAGAGAUUUUACUUGAGUUGUGGUUCUUGGUUGAAAGCCCCUUUUCAUCAUAGUUUACUUGAAGGCAGCUUGAGUCAUCUUUGGAAGCAAUAUUUCUAAGUUUUUUAUUUAUAAAGAACCAUGUUAUAUUUGUUUGUUUUUUGUAUAAGCGGCAGAUCUUUUAAACAGAUAUUGUGAUUAAAAUUAUGACAGCAUGGAUGUUCAUCACUAUUCUUUUUGGACUUGAAUAGAUCUAUGUCUAAAUUACACAUAAUGUCUACGAGUAAAUUAUUAUAGAUUGACUUUCAUGUCGACGUCUUUCUUGGAUCUGUGAUGAAGCAUAGUCAUCUUAGUACUAUGUUGCUUUCUACAUGUCUUCUCAUGACCUUAUUACAGAUUCUGUUUAUAUGGUUUUAAACAAAUAUGAUAUUUUUGUAGCACAUUUCGUAUAAGUUUUUCUCCUACUACAGAGAUAACUUUAGUUUAGUCCGUAAACUUGCAGGUCAGUUCUGAUGUAUGUUCAAUAGCUCAAUUUUGUUUUGACCUACUACAUUUAGUCAAUGUUAGCUCUAGCAUCAACACUAACUGUCACUCUCAUGCCACCCCAUGGACGCCUCUGACCCAGAGUUUCCUUCUGCAGUUUGUUGAAAAUGAAGUGCUUCCACCAGCAUGAGUAUUCCAUGAAAAUCAGACUUAAUGUUGGUAAAACAUGAUGCUCCAGUAUCUAUAGAUAUCAUCUAGAUCAAGGAUAUAAAUUAUCAUCUGCAUCCCUAUGUUGUGUUUUGACGGAUGGUUGUGGCUGAACCCGCAAAUCCUCAUUCAGAUUUAGAUGUACAGGAUAAGAGUGUCGAGAAAGUCAAUAUAUGGCUUAGUGCGGCACAUAAGUUGUCUACUAGGUAGUUAUGCAGACAUCCUUCCACCUAGGUGCUUAUGCACACGUGUACUUUCUGUUGUAGUAGUUAAUUGAAGUCUUUGUUUUUUUAAUAUGGUUUCUUAAGAUCUAAUUUUAGUCAGUAAACUUGCAGGUCAGUUCUGAUGUACUCCCUCCGGUCCUUUUUACUCUGCACAUCGGAUUUGCCGAAAGUCAAAC